UCUCAAAGAUUAAGCCAUGCAUGUCUAAGCAUAAACUAAUCUAAAGUGAAGCCGCGAAUAGCUCAUUACAACAGCCGUUGUUUCUUGGAUCUCCGUCUUACUUGGAUAACUGUGGUAAUUCUAGAGCUAAUACAUGCAGCCGAGCUCUGACUUCACAGGAAGAGCGCAUUUAUUAGAUCAAAACCAAUCGGCUCCGGCCGUUUCUGGUGAAUCUGAAUAACUACGCAGAUCGCUUAGGUUUUAUACCGGCGACAAAUCCUUCAAGUGUCUGCCUUAUCAACUUUCGAUGGUAGUUUUUAAGCCUACCAUGGUGACGACGGGUAACGGAGAAUUAGGGUUCGACUCCGGAGAGGGAGCCUGAGAAACGGCUACCACUUCUAAGGAAGGCAGCAGGCGCGCAAAUUACCCACUCUCGGAAAGAGGAGGUAGUGACGAAAAAUAACGAGAUAACCCGCUCUAGCGAGUUAUCAUCGGAAUGAGAACAAUCUAAAUCCUUU
rnacentral:rRNA from 1 species